ACUUCUAAUUUGGAUACCCAACACAGCUGCUAAUCCAAUUUCUGCUCACUUCCUGUGACCUUGAAUAAUGUCAUCCUAAGAGGAGCUUAAAUUGAAAGUCAAGGGGGAUAGGAACUUCUGGUACAAUAUUCUCCCAGUUUGCCCAACGCUGCCCUCCCCCAUAAUACACUAAGGACCACCUACUGAGGAAGAGUAGAAAAAUGCCAGUAUUAAAAUGUCUUUUAAAUAUCAAAUUCCCUCUAUCAACUGCUGUGAGAGGGACACCAUGCACCAGCAUUGCUAGUCCUGUGUGAUGGAGGUCUGGGACUCAGCAGACCAAGCACCAGAGCCCAGAAUCCUGAGAUACCUGAAUCAGGGACUUUCCAUUGCUGGCCUGCUCCCUUUGUAUCCAAAGCUGGGACAUGUCUAUGAAGAUGCUGGAACUUCGCCAAGCUUGAACCCUGUGGUCUUCUGAGUUAAUCCUGUCCUAGACACAAACCCAGAGAGCCAAGCAUCCUGAAGAAGGUGGGAGAGCCUGCUGACCCAGCUCCCACACCUGCAACACAGGGAGCAGCCCAAGGAAGGAGCCACCUGAAUCCACAGCAAAGCUUGCCCAGAGGCCAUCCUGGAAGAUUUGCUCUCUCAGAUCUCCAUGCUCUAGGUGAAGAUCACAGGAACCUGAGAAAGAAACCCAGUGUUGGUCAUUGAGAGUGAUGCCCCUUUGCCUGCUCCAGGGAAGUCAUUGCCUGGUUGCUGAUUAUCAUCCCCACACCCAGGAGCAAUAACCCCCAGCUUCCUCCAACACAUUCCUUCGUGACCAGGAUCUAGAUAUCUUCAACCUAGGUGUAUCGCCCAGAGCUACAACUUGUUAAGGGUUUGAGCGAGGGAUCUGGGGAUUUAAUAAAGACAAAAGAGCCAGUCACUCUUGAAAGAAGAAUGCCAAUUUCAUUUAGAGGGGAUUUGACUUAUAUACCACCAGCAGUGCCCUAGGAAGUAACUGAGAUCAAGGUCCAAGCUCUUAAGCCCCUGGCAAUAUGCAGAUACUCUGAAUAUUUUGUAAACAGGCCUUGUCCAAAGAGGGAAAACAAGGAAAUAGUACCUAGCUAUGAGGCAGCUGGUAGCUCCCCAAGGGUACUGGGGAUCAACAAUAGAUAAGAGAAGAAAAGCAGACUCCCAGAGGUCCCCCACACCUAGGUGCUUUAUUGGAUGGUCCUUUGGGGAGAGAGGCCUUACACCCUGCUUCUUCAAAUUUCAUAGAAGGGCUUUUGCCUUUUGAUAUGUUACAUUUUUUAACUAUCUUAAUAAAACAUCAAAACCACC